AUUUUUAAUUAUCACUACAGAAAAAUAUGACUUGAAUACUCGCAGCCCAAAUCGAAAUAGUGUUUUACCCCCUAGAUGUCCAAUCAACUACUGCACCUCAACGCAUUUCGGGGAAGGCAUUUCCCAUUUUUGUAGGAACUUCUGUACCAGAAACAAUGACAUCUCCAAUUAUAGCCCCUCUGGGAUGUAUUCAUGGUUUAGGUUGCUCCCAUUCCGCUUGCCACUACUACAGGAAUCGCUUUUGCUUUCUUGACGGUUGUCGCUACUAGACGAUGAAAUGGAUUUUGGAAUUUAUUAACAUUCUCUAAAAAGGGUGCGAGAAUGGAGGUUUGGAACCCUUCACUUACUCUGCAUUGGUCCUUGUCUCGUGUGACAGACCCCUUGCUGGAUAUUUCUCAAUGUCCCGGCUAUUCACAGAACGUGAGAAGUCUUUCGAUUUUUGUGAAAAAGGUUUGGGAUCCCUUAAAUUUCUUAAACCGGCUGUGGAAGCUUUUACUUGAGGGAGUGCUCUUGGCCCAGUGAAUAUCGCUUAUUCUGGUGUUUAUCAGUGGUAGGGAUUUAUCAAUAGGUAAUAUUGCACCAAUACCCAACCAAAGGGCGAUUGCAAAUAGUGUUCGAUCAAUUACGUAUUAAUCAAUAUUCGAUUGAUUGGUCGUCCCAUAAUCGUGUCUACAUCAAUCCACAUCAUACCCAUUCCAAUUUAAUUCAAUUAAGAAGUAUCCUCAAAGAUAACCGUCCAUUUCUACGCGAACCAAUUCUCAGUAUAGCUUUUGCCAUAUUUUAUCAUCUCAUAAAUAUGAGUCAGAGAUAUUUUAUUCUGAUAAGAAAGCGCUCUUAGUUCGGUUCAGUAGAAUGUGGUUCGAUGGUAAACUUGUUUAAAAAGAAAAAUGAAAACAAAAAAUGGAAAUUUGGGGCCUAGGUGAUCGUCUCAUUAAUCCAAAAGUUAAAGGUGGCUCUAUGUUUUGGUCAGUUAUUGUGUGGUAAAAAUGCAAGACUCCAAAAGAGUUUGCUAUGCAAUGUAGCAUCAUCUAAGUCAUGUUAGUGAAGCAUUUAGUUGCAUACUUUUGCACGACGGGAUAAUUUUAUCAUUUCAAUUCAACUUAAGAAUUUUUCCUAUCAGUUUACCUCAUUUCACUUCUAUAAAUAGAUUGCUCUAUUCUCAAUUUCUUGUUCUUUAAUUUUAUAUGACUAAAAAAU
rnacentral:lncRNA from 1 species